UGUCCAGACUCCUACGGGAGGCAGCAGUGGGGAAUAUUGCACAAUGGGGGGAACCCUGGUGCAGCGACGCCGCGUGGGUGAAGGGGUAUUUCGGUAUGUAAAGCCCUAUCAGCAGGGAAGAACAAUGACGGUACCUGACUAAGAAGCACCGGCUAAAUACGUGCCAGCAGCCGCGGUAAUACGUAUGGUGCAAGCGUUAUCCGGAUUUACUGGGUGUAAAGGGAGCGCAGGCGGCGCGUUAAGCCUGGUGUGAAAGCCCGCGGCCCAACCGCGGGACUGCAUUGGGAACUGGCGCGCUGGAGUGCCGGAGGGGUAGGCGGAAUUCCUGGUGUAGCGGUGAAAUGCGUAGAUAUCAGGAGGAACACCGGUGGCGAGGGCGGCCUGCUGGACUGCAACUGACGUUGAGGCCCGAAAGCGUGGGGAGCAAACAGGAUUAGAUACCCGUGUA
rnacentral:rRNA from 1 species